AAAGCAACCUGACGGUACCAGAGGAAUCAGCAUCGGCCGCGUCGACGUGCCAGCAGCCGCGGUAAUACGUAGGUCCCGAGCGUUGUCCGGAUUUAUUGGGCGUAAAGCGAGCGCAGGCGGUUUGAUAAGUCUGAAGUUAGAGGCUGUGGCUCAACCCUAGUUCGCUUUGGAAACUGUCAAACUUGAGUGCAGAAGGGGAGAGUGGAAUUCCAUGUGUAGCGGUGAAAUGCGUAGAUAUAUGGAGGAACACCGGUGGCGAAAGCGGCUCUCUGGUCUGUAACUGACGCUGAGGCUCGAAAGCGUGGGGAGCGAACAGGAUUAGAUACCCUGGUAGUCCACACCUAGCACUCAUCGUUGUCGACGCGGCCG
rnacentral:rRNA from 1 species